rnacentral:rRNA from 1 species
CCUGGUUGAUCCUGCAGUAGUCAUAUGCUUGUCUCAAAGAUUAAGCCAUGCAUGUGUAAGUAUGAACUAAUUUAGACUAUGAAACUGUGAAUGGCUCAUUAAAUCAGUUAUAGUUUGUUUGAUGGUAUCUACUACUUGGAUAACCAUAGUAAUUCUAGAGCUAAUACGUGCAACAAACCUCAACUUCUAGAAGGGAUGCAUUUAUUAGAUAAAAGGUCGACGCGGGCUAUGCCCGUUGCUAUGAUGAUUCAUGAUAACUCGACGGAUCACACAGCCUUUAUGCCGACGAUGCAUCAUUCAAAUUUUUGCCCUAUCAACUUUCAAUGGUAGGAUAGUGGCCUACUAUGGUGGUGACGGGUGACGGAGAAUUAGGGUUUGAUUCUGGAAAGGGAGCCUGAGAAAACGGCUACCACAUCCAAGGAAAGUAGCAAGCACGCAAAUUACCCAAUCCUGACACGGGGAGGUAGUGACAAUAAAUAACAAUAUCGGGCUCUAUGAGUCUGGUAAUUGGAAUGAGUACAAUCUAAAUCCCUUAAUGAAGAUCCAUUGGAGGGCAAGUCUGGUGCCAGCAGUCGCGGUAAUUCCAGCUCCAGUAGCGUAUAUUUAAGUUGUUGCAGUUAAAAAGCUCGUAGUUGGAACUAGGGUUAGGUCAUUCAGUUUGCCUCACGAUGAGCACCGAUCUACUCAUCCCUACUACCGACGAUGCGCUCCUAGACUUAAUUACUCGGGUCGUUCCUCCAGCGCUGUUACUUUGAAGAAAUUAGAGUGCUAAAAGCAUGCCUACGCUUGUAUACAUUAGCAUGGGAUAACAUCAUAGGAUUUCGAUCCUAUUAUGUUGGCCUUCGGGAUUGGAGUAAUGAUUAACAGGGACAGUUGGGGGCAUUCGUAUUUCAUAGUCAGAGGUGAAAUUCUUGGAUUUAUGAAAAUUGAACAACUGCGAAAGUAUUUGCCAAGGAUGUUUUCAUUAAUCAAGAACGAAAAUUGAGGGCUCGAAGACGAUCAGAUACCGUCCUAGUCUCAACCAUAAACAAUAUCGACCAGGGAUCGGUGGAUGUUACUUUUAGGACUCCGUCGGUACCUUAUGAGAAAUCAAAGUCUUUGGGUUUCGAGGGGAGUAUGGUCGUAAGGAUAAAACUUAAAGGAAUUGACAGAAGGGCACCACCAGGAGUGGAGCUUGCGGCUUAAUUUGACUUAAUACGGGGAAACUUACUAGGUCUAGACAUAGUAAGGAUUGACAGACUGAGAGCUUUUUCUUGAUUCUAUGGGUGGUGAUGCAUGGCCAUUCUUAGUUGGUGGAGCGAUUUGUCUGGUUAAUUCUAUUAACAAACGAGACCUCAACCUGCUAACUAGCUACAUGGAGGUGAUCCUUCGUGGCUAGCUUCUUAGAGGGACUAUGGCCGCUUAGGCUAAGGAAGUUUGAGGCAAUAACAGGUCUGUGAUGCCCUUAGAUGUUCUGGGCUACACGCGCACUACACUGAUGUAUUCAAUGAGUCUAUAGCCUUGGCUGAUAGGCCCAGGUAAUCUUUGAAAUUUCAUCGUGAUGGGGAUAGAUCAUUGCAAUUGUUGGUCUUCAACAAGGAAUUCCUAGUAAGCGCGAGUCAUCAGCUCGCGUUGACUAUGUCCCUGCCCUUUGUACACACCGCCCAUCGCUCCUACCGAUUUAAUGGUUGAUGAAGUGUUCGGAUCGUGACGACGUGGACGGUCCGUCGCCCGCGACAUCGUGAGAAGUCCACUGAACCUUAUCAUUUAAAGGAAGGAGAAGUCAUAAUAAGGUUUUCAUAGGUGAACCUGCAGAAG